rnacentral:tmRNA from 1 species
GGGGGCGUCACGGCUUCGACGCGUUUGGUGAAUAUGGAGUAGCGUGCCGAGGUUCCCGGGUCCUCGUAAAACCCCUUGGAAAACUUUAAUUGCCAACAAUGAACUGGCGAUGGCUGCGUAACUUCGGUUCGCAGCUCGUUUCCUGAUCUGCCUGCCCGAGGCGGGUCUCCGAAACGUCGAUGAGUCGGGCUGGUCUCUGGUCGGUGCUGCUCCGAUCAGAAAUGAGAUUUUCAGGUA